AGUCGAGCGGCAGCGACUUAACUGAACCUUCGGGGAACGUUAAGGGCGGCGAGCGGCGGACGGGUGAGUAAUGCCUGGGAAUAUGCCCUGAUGUGGGGGAUAACUAUUGGAAACGAUAGCUAAUACCGCAUAAUCUCUUCGGAGCAAAGAGGGGGACCUUCGGGCCUCUCGCGUCAGGAUUAGCCCAGGUGGGAUUAGCUUGUUGGUGAGGUAAUGGCUCACCAAGGCAACGAUCCCUAGCUGGUCUGAGAGGAUGAUCAGCCACACUGGAACUGAGACACGGUCCAGACUCCUACGGGAGGCAGCAGUGGGGAAUAUUGCACAAUGGGGGAAACCCUGAUGCAGCCAUGCCGCGUGUGUGAAGAAGGCCUUCGGGUUGUAAAGCACUUUCAGUAGGGAGGAAGAUAGUGUAGUUAACACCUGCAUUAUUUGACGUUACCUACAGAAGAAGCACCGGCUAACUCCGUGCCAGCAGCCGCGGUAAUACGGAGGGUGCGAGCGUUAAUCGGAAUUACUGGGCGUAAAGCGCAUGCAGGCGGCCUGUUAAGUCAGAUGUGAAAGCCCGGGGCUUAACCUCGGAAUUGCAUUUGAAACUGGCAGGCUAGAGUCUUGUAGAGGGGGGUAGAAUUUCAGGUGUAGCGGUGAAAUGCGUAGAGAUCUGAAGGAAUACCAGUGGCGAAGCGGCCCUCUGGACAAAGACUGACGCUCAGAUGCGAAAGCGUGGGGAGCAAACAGGAUAGAUACCCUGGUAGUCCACGCCGUAAACGAUGUCUACUUGGAGGUUGUGGCCUUGAGCCGUGGCUUUCGGA
rnacentral:rRNA from 1 species